CAUUCACGGAGAGUUUGAUCCUGGCUCAGGACGAACGCUGGCGGCGUGCUUAACACAUGCAAGUCGAACGAUGAACCACUUCGGUGG
rnacentral:rRNA from 1 species